rnacentral:rRNA from 1 species
ACGGGAGGCAGCAGCUAAGAAUAUUCCGCAAUGGACGAAAGUCUGACGGAGCGACGCCGCGUGGAUGAUGAAGGUCGAAAGAUUGUAAAAUCCUUUUAGGAGUGACGAAUAAGCGGUGCAGGGAAUGGCAUCACGGUGACGGUAGCUCCUGAAUAAGCAACGGCUAAUUACGUGCCAGCAGCCGCGGUAACACGUAAGUUGCGAGCGUUGUUCGGAAUUAUUGGGCGUAAAGGGUAUGUAGGCGGUCGUGCAAGCUUGAUGUGAAAGGCAGGGGCUCAACCCCUGGACUGCAUUGAGAACUGCAUGACUUGAAUUGCUGAAGGGCAGCCGGAAUUCCAGGUGUAGGGGUGAAAUCUGUAGAUAUCUGGAAGAACACCAAUGGCGAAGGCAGGCUGCUGGCAGAUGAUUGACGCUGAGGUACGAAAGUGCGGGGAGCAAACAGGAUUAGAUACCCUGGUA